UAACUAGCCUAGAAUGUUCUGUUUCCUCUUAAGUCUCUACACACACAUUUUGAUAUUUCAUUUCUAGAAUGGUAGACUAUACAUGUUAGCAAUCGUGGGAAUCACUUUUUAUGUAAUAACAUACUUGAGUGUAUGGCAUACAGUGUGAUUGGGAAUAAAGAUGGAGAAACUGUUCUUUACAAUAUUCCAUGAUGAUCUGCAGGGGCUUUUUUUGUUUGUUUUUUAAAAUCAUUAAGGCAUUUCUCUUUAAGAUUGCUUUAUUUUAUUUAGGACUUUAUCUUAUCUUUAUGUUUCUUUUUUUCACAGUCCAUAUUUUUCUCCCCUUUCUCUUUCUCUCCCUGCCUCCCACCAUGCACACACGCACACACACACACACACACACUUCCUCCAAGCAUAUUGAUUUAUUGAAAAUCAAGGUGACUUCUGGUGUUGGAGAUAAGCAGGCCCACACUUGUUGGUGUGGUUCUUUGCAUGAACUGCCUCCUUUUCCUGACACUAAGGCACAGCUGAGUGGAGGGAAGAAGAUAGCAGUGACUUCUCCUAUCCUCUAGGUCAUUGGCUUCACAUUAGAAGCACCAGAGGAGUUUUAAAAAUUAUCAUUCUCAGAUUCACACCCCAUCCCAAAUAAAUCAGGAUGUGAGUAUCUUGUGUUGAGAUACACAUAUCUGUACUUUUUAAAGAUUCUUAAGUGAUUCCAGUGUGCUGCAAAGUCUGCGCUGCGAAGUCUGGGAGACACUCUAGGUUUUUUGUUUGUUUUUAUAAUGAAACAGUAGUUUUUUUUUUUUUUUUGAAGUUUAACAGCUAUUAAUGGUGGCAUAGUACCUUGUAGGUAGUUUUUCAAUCCUCACCCUCCUUCUAACCCCUACCCUCAAGUAGGACCCUGUGUGUAUUGUUCCCUUUCUUCUAUCCAUGUGUACUCAGUGUUUACUUCCUACUUAUAAGUGGAAACGUGAUAUUUGGUUUUCUGUUCCUACAUUAAUUUGAUUAGGAUAAUGGCCUCCAGCUGCAUCCAUGUUGUGCAAUGGACAUGAUUUUUUUUAAUGGCUAUAUAGAAUCCCAUGAUGUAUAUGUACUGCAUUUGCUUUAUCCAGUCUACCAUUGGUGGGUAUAUAGGUUGAUUCAAUGUCUUUGCUAAUAUGAAUGGUGCUGUGAGGAACAUACAAAUACAUGUUUCUUUUUGGUAGAACGAUUUAUAUUCCUUUGAGUAUAUACCCAGUAGUGGGAUUGCUGGGUUGAAUAGUAGUUCUGUUUUAAGUUCUUUGAGAAAUCUCCAAAUUGAUUUCCACAGUGGCUGAACUAAUUUACAUUCCCACUAGAAGUGUAUAAGCUUUACUCUGUAACCUUGCCAACAUGUUAUUUUCUGACUUUUUAAUAAUAACCAUCCUGACUGGUGUGAGAUGGUAUCUCAUUGUGGUUUUGAUUUGCAUUUCUCUAAUAAUUUGUCAUGCUGAGCAUUUUUUUUUAUAUGCUUGUUGGCUACUUGUAUGUCUUCUUUUGAGAAGUGUCUGUUCAUGUCCUUUGCCCAUUUUUUAAUGGGGUUGUUUGCUUUUUGUUGUUGAGUUUUGUUUAAAUUCCUUAUAGAUUCUGGAUAUUAGAAUUUUGUCAGAUGAAUAGUUUGCAAAUAUUUUCACCCAUUCUGUAGGAUGUCUGUUUACUCUGUUGAUAGUUUCUUUAGCUGUGCAGGAGCUCUUUAGUUUCAUUAGGUCCCAUUUGUGUAUUUUUGGUUUUGUUGCAUUUGCUUUUGGAGACAUUGUCAUGAACUCUUUGCCAAGGUCUAUGUCCAGAAUGGUAUUUCCUAGGUUUUCUUCUAGGGUUGUUGUAGUUUUAGGUCUUACAUUGAAGUGUUUAAUCCAUAUUGAGUUGAUUUUUGUGUAUGGUAUAAGAAGGGGUCCAGCUUCAAUCUGCUGCAUAUGGCUAGCCUGUUAACCCAGCACCAUUUAUUGAACAGGCAGUCCUUUCUGCAUUGCUUGUUGUUGUCGACUUUGUCAAAUAUCAGAUGGUUGUAGGUGUGCAGCUUUAUUUUUGGGUUCUGUAACCUGUACCAUUGGUCUAUGUGUCUGUUUUUGUAUCAGUACCAUGCUGUUUUGGCUACUGUAGCCUUGUAGUAUAGUUUGAAGUCAGGUAGCCUGCUGCCUCUGGCUUUAUUCUUUUUGCUUAGGAUUGCACUGGCUUUGGGGGCUUUUUUUUGGUUCCAUAUGAAUUUUAAAAUAUUUUUUCUAAUUCUGUGAAAAAAUGAUGUUGGUAGUUUGAUAGGAGUAGCAUGGUCACCUUUUAGAACUGGCAGUUUAUCUCCUUGACUAUAAGAGAAAAGUGACCUGAAGUACAUUGUCUUCUCAAUUUUUGUAUAAAAGAAGCAUUUGUACUCUUCCUCCAGUUCAUCAUGAUAAAACAUGAUGAUUACUGCUAUAUCUGGAAACUCUGCAAUCAUCCAUAAGGUAGCUUUUAUCUAGAUAGACUGAAAUUGGAAGGUUGUCUGUAAAUAAUAUAUGUUUGACAUCUGAUGUCAUUCUUAAAAGAAUAAAUGCCAGAGCAUCAAGAAUAGUCCCAAUCCAUGGAACAAUACAGAAUUCUAACGGUGGGAAGUCUGUAUAAGCAAUGCCAUCCAUAUACCAUAUUUUAAUUCUGUUAUAGAGGGAUUACCUCUAAAUAUGUCAGAUGGAAAAAUUUCUUCCUCUCAAUAUAGGCCAGAUACAAGCAGCUUACUUACUCACACAGCUUCAUAGUCCAUGGCAGCCUCCCAAGUCAUUCAUUUUUAAGUAGUUGCAUCUAUUUGAGUCAUGAUGUGAACAUUACCCAGCAAACUGAGUCACAAAUUAAUUUACAUAUUUGAGAAGUUGUUGUAUUCGGUAUAUUGCAAUAGAAAUAUCAUAGAAACUUGGUAUUCUUGUUUCACUCAGAUUCAGAAUUCACUAAAGUAUGACGAGUUAUUAUUGCUAUUAUUAUCCCUAGGAAUAAGUUAAUAUUAAUUGAUUGCAUUUGUGUUUUACAUAAUAUUUAUAUGUGGGAACAUUAUACCAUAACUAGAAGAUAGAAUGCAAUGAGAAACAUAAUUGUAGAAUAUGAAAAUUCACCAGCUGUAGGAUUCAAAAUGGUUAAAAUUCAAAAAGAUAAAAGGAAAAUGCUUGGUUAAAUAUACUGGGAUUUUCUAAGCUUACAGUAUUAGAAAAGCCAUAUAGUUUUUGUUAUGUACAAAUAAUUUAGCUUACACAAUCUUUAGAAAUCUUUGGGUUCUGGGAUUUAAAAAUAAAAGGAAACCAACAAGAAGAAAAGUUAAAGUUACUGAUUCGACUUAGUUUUUAUACUACAUAGUACCCACCUCUCCAAAUGCAAUAUUUCAUGUAAGCUGGAAUUAAGUAUUUAUUAAUGUUCAAGAAACUAGGCAGUCAUAUGAUCGUGGCUUAUUAUAGCUUACUCCUAAAUUUAGAAGUGUUCCCAGAUUGAAAAAUGGUAAAAAGAUUAGAGAACAAAUGCACAGUUUUUAGUUUUUUCCUUGUUUUAGAUUUAUUAUAUUUUUUGAAACUAGAUUUUAUUAUCCUAAUCAUACUGUAUUGAACCUUUUAAGAGAAUAAAAUAAGAUUGUGUUAG
rnacentral:lncRNA from 1 species